rnacentral:rRNA from 1 species
UACGGGGGGGGGCAAGCGUUGUUCGGAAUUACUGGGCGUAAAGGGCUCGUAGGCGGCCAACUAAGUCAGACGUGAAAUCCCUCGGCUUAACCGGGGAACUGCGUCUGAUACUGGAUGGCUUGAAUCCGGGAGAGGGAUGCGGAAUUCCAGGUGUAGCGGUGAAAUGCGUAGAUAUCAGGAGGAAUACCGGUGGCGAAGGCGGCCUUCUGGACGGUGACUGACGCUGAGACGCGAAAGCGUGGGGAGCAAACAGG